rnacentral:rRNA from 1 species
UACGUAGGCAGCAAGCGUUGUUCGGAGUUACUGGGCGUAAAGGGUGCGUAGGCGGCUUUUUAAGUUUGGUGUGAAAUCUCCCGGCUCAACUGGGAGGGUGCGCCGAAUACUGAGAGGCUAGAGUGUGGGGAGAGGAAAGUGGAAUUCCUGGUGUAGCGGUGGAAUGCGCAGAUAUCAGGAGGAACACCGGUGGCGAAGGCGGGUCUCUGGGCUGACACUGACGCUCAUGCACGAAAGCGUGGGGAGCAAACAGG